rnacentral:rRNA from 1 species
GACGAACGCUGGCGGCGUGCCUAAUACAUGCAAGUAGAACGCAGAGGAGAGGAGCUUGCUCUUUUUGCGUGAGUUGCGAACGGGUGAGUAACGCGUAGGUAACCUACCUGUUAGCGGGGGAUAACUAUGGGAAACGGGAGCUAAUACCGCAUAAAAUGGCGUAUCGCAUGAUUAUAUAUUGAAAGGUGGCAAUGCAUCACUGCAAGGUGGACCUUCGGUGUAUUUGGUUGGUGGUGGGGUAACGGGUCAACAAAGGGAACGUAACGAGCCCAACUGAGAGGGCGGUUGGCCCACAUGGGAAUGAGACCCGGCCCAGACUCCUUCGGGGGGGCGCCAGAGGGAAACCUCGGGCAUGGGCGGAAGUCUUACCGAGCAACGCCGCGUGAGUGAAGAAGGUUUUCGGAUCGUAAAGCUCUGUUGUAAGGGGAGAAACAGUGGUAGAGUGGAAAGUUCACACUGUGACGGUAUCUUAUCAGAAAGCCACGGCUAACUACGUG